rnacentral:piRNA from 1 species
UGAGGUAAAUGGCAGUGGUAAGAGGU